AUUAAAAUAAGCAUUUUCAGUUCCCAAUAUGGAAUCAGACACAGCAUCGUGAUCACUACUUCUCCUUUUCCCAUUUAGAACUAAAAUCAGGAAGCGGUUAAACAAGAACUUUAGACUUGCUCAUGACUAAUCCACUUGGAAAUACCCUACAAUAAAAGGGCACAGCGGAAUGAGUUACAACAACCUGGUAAUAACUGACAUGCUACAAUUUCAUUUCUAGUUAAAAUGAAGGAAGAAAACGUUGAAAAUGGACUGUGUGAAAGAAUUCCUCAGGUACAUUCACUUAAAGAACCUUGCUCUGACUGUCUGAUGUCAGCACAACGGAAAGUUACUGAUUGCAACCCAUUAAGUGCUGACAAAGGGGAAAACAACAGGACAAUAAGGAGUAAGAAGGUCAGGAAACGGCCUCAGUCUUCAUCAGGCCUCAGAGGACAAAUCUGGCAGAGUGAAACUGGAGAAGCAGAACAUAUGCUGUUAGAAGCCAAAAGGACCUCAGGGCAACAUUCACUAUGGGCAAUUGGGAACAUCAAUUAUUCUAACCUGCAUGUCUUUAGACUGUGGAAGGAAACCGGAGAACCCGGAGGAAACCCACCAAGCACAGGGAGAACAUGCACACAGACUCCAUGCACACAGACCCUGGGGCAGGAAUCAAACCUGGACACUGAAAGUGCAAGGCAACAGUGCAAACCACUAUGGCACCGUGCCGCAAUAAUAUUUUAACUCUUCACAGAUUCCUUUAAGCUUUAAUUUCUUUUUUGUGUAAAUCAUGGUUGCACAAAGAUGGAGUACAAUUUUUAUGAUUUGUAGAUUACAUGUGUAAACUGUAAAAGAUGUUUAUUUUUUAUUCCAUUUAAAGGAACAGACAUACAGCAUAACAACUAUAAGAACUUAGCAAUAAAUAUAAUUUCUGUUGAUGUUAUAUUUCUGCAAUACAUUAAUGCUGUUGUGAUUUCAGUAUAAUGGCAAUACUGUAACUGUUAAAAUGA